rnacentral:rRNA from 1 species
GACGAACGCUGGCGGCGUGCUUAACACAUGCAAGUCGAGCGCGUGGCGGACGUGUGAGUAAUGUCUGGGAAACUGCCCGAUGGCGGGGGAUAACUACUUGAAACGGUAGCUAAUACCGCAUACCAUCGGAUGUGCCCAGAUGGGAUUAACUAGUAGGUGGGGUAACGGCUCACCUAGGCGACGAUCCCUAGCUGGUCUGAGAGGAUGACCAGCCAAACUGGAACUGAGACACGGUCAAGACUCCUACGGGAGGCAGCAGUGGGGAAUAUUGCACAAUGGGCGCAAGCCUGAUGCAGCCAUGCCGCGUGGAGGAAGAAGGCAUUCGGGUUGUAAAGUACUUUCAGCGAGGAGGCGUUACUCGAAGAAGAAGCACCGGCUAACUCCGUGCCAGCCGCCGCGGUAAUAC